rnacentral:rRNA from 1 species
UACGUAGGGUGCAAGCGUUGUCCGGAAUUAUUGGGCGUAAAGAGCUCGUAGGUGGUUUGUCGCGUUGUUCGUGAAAACUCACAGCUCAACUGUGGGCGUGCGGGCGAUACGGGCAGACUAGAGUACUGCAGGGGAGACUGGAAUUCCUGGUGUAGCGGUGGAAUGCGCAGAUAUCAGGAGGAACACCGGUGGCGAAGGCGGGUCUCUGGGCAGUAACUGACGCUGGAGGAGCGAAAGCGUGGGGAGCGAACAGG